CAUCAAAUUAAUGUAGAUGAAUUAUGACUAGAAACAAAGCUAUUGCAGAUAUCCACAAAUGGAGAAACAAAAACAUGUUUUUUCAUUUUAAAUAUCUAAAAUUAAAAAGAUAAAGUUCAAAUCUGAUUGGACGAUUAGGAUCCAAGAGGUAUCCAAUCAUAAUUAUAUGACGUGUCUUUUUGACACCGUUACUAAAACAAACUGUGUACUCUGAAAUCUUGUGUAUUUCUUAAAUUUUAAUUCAUUUUAAUUGGUUGUCUGAUGUUUUUAUUUUUUAUGUUCCUCAAUAUUGAGACAGGAAUGAAAAAGGAUGAAUUAUUGUGUCAUAAUGUCAGAAAUAAAGUCUGUUUGAGACCAAGAAUGAUAAUGGUGUUUUUCCUAAAUCAGUUCUCCUGAUAUCACUUUAAACUGCUGGGUUGGUUCUUUCUACCA